GACGAACGCUGGCGGCGUGCCUAAUACAUGCAAGUCGAACGCAGUGGGGACGGGUGAGUAACACGUGGGUAACCUCCCAUCAGAGGGGAUAACACUUGGCAACAGGUGCUAAACCUAUAUUGAAGGAUGGACCCGCGGUGCAUUAGCUAGUUGGUGAGGCAACGGCUCACCAAGGCCACGAUGCAUAGCCGACCUGAGAGGGAGAUCGGCCACACUGUGACAGAGACACGGCCCAGACUCCGACGGGAGGCAGCAGUAGGGAAUCUUCGGCAAUGGACGAAAGUCUGACCGAGCAACGCCGCGUGAGUGAAGAAGGUUUUCGGAUCGUAGAACUCUGUUGUUAGAGAAGCGGUAUCUAACCAGAAAGCCACGGCUAACUACGUGCCAGCAGCCGCGGUAAUAC
rnacentral:rRNA from 1 species